rnacentral:rRNA from 1 species
GACGAACGCUGGCGGCGUGCUUAACACAUGCAAGUCGAGCGGUAAGGCCCUUUCGGGGGUACGACGAGCGGCGAACGGGUGAGUAACACGUGGGUGACCUGCCCUCAGCUCUGGGAUAAGCCUGGGAAACCGGGUCUAAUACUGGAUAUGACUCCAUGACGCAUGUUGUGGGGUGGAAAGCCUUGUGCGGCUGAGGAUGGGCCCGCGGCCUAUCAGCUUGUUGGUGGGGUGANGGCCUACCAAGGCGACGACGGGUAGCCGGCCUGAGAGGGCGACCGGCCACACUGGGACUGAGACACGGCCCAGACUCCUACGGGAGGCAGCAAUGGGGAAUCUUGCGCAAUGGGCGAAAGCCUGACGCAGCGACGCCGCGUGAGGGAUGACGGCCU